CAAGCCCUACGGGGCGCAGCAGUAGGGAAUCUUCCACAAUGGGCGAAAGCCUGAUGGAGCAACGCCGCGUGGGUGAAGAAGGUCUUCGGAUCGUAAAACCCUGUUGUUAGAGAAGAAAGUGCGUGAGAGUAACUGUUCACGUUUCGACGGUAUCUAACCAGAAAGCCACGGCUAGCUACGUGCCAGCAGCCGCGGUAAUACAUAGGUGGCAAGCGUUAUCCGGAUUUAUUGGGCGUACAGAGAACGCAGGCGGUCUUUUAAGUCUGAUGUGAAAGCCUUCGGCUUAACCG
rnacentral:rRNA from 1 species